CCUUUACAGGGCAACUUUAGAGGUGGCAGAUUCCAGCCCCAUUAUAAGUCAGGCCUAGUACAGAAGAGCUUGUACAUUCAGGCUAAAUACCAGCGUUUACGGUUUGCUGGUCCAAGGGGAUUUAUCACUAAUAAAUUCAGAGAAAGAUUACUGAGGAAAAAAAAGGAAUAUACAAACGUUGCCACAGAAAACUAAUCUGGAAUUGUUACAAAUGGAAACAACACUGCAGGAGAUUGUUUGGGAAUAUCUCUUUUUGUCAGGAGUUAGAAUUGGCACUAAGACAUUAAUACUGUAACUUUCUUGAUAAAAUAACUUUAUUUUUCAGUAGUGGAAUGCUGCAACUUUUUUACACUUAACAAUUGCUUUUAAAUUACAGUAUUCAAUUUAAAAGUUGUAUUAACUACAGUUUCUUUUGCAAAAAAUCUCAAAAGAAUCACUUGAAGGGCAUUAUUUGUUGACCCAUUUUUCUCUGAGCAUGGUUUCAUCAAAAGAACUUAACCAAGUUAUAUUCAGACAUUUAUAUGUUGGAAGUUUCGCUUACGUAAUAAAAAUAAAAACAAAAGUGUCUGAAUUGUAUAGUGUCUGUACAUGAAAGAACUUUAAACAGUGGCCUUAUGGUAGCAAAUUUUAUACUGGAUUUUUCUUUUUCUGAUGACAUUUUGGCUUACAACUUGAAGUUUUCUUAAGUUUCUGAAGAUCAAGGCCUAUAUUAUUCAUACAUUUCAUAUUAUGAUAUAAGAAGGCAAGAGAAAAGGUGCUUCAAAUUUUCCAUCAGGUAGUUGCGAGUGCACUGAAUUUUUAGUAAAUAUGUUCAUUCAGUUUUUCCCACAACUAUUUGCUCUUUUCCAAUUUCAAAAUGCUAUUGUGGAAAAUAUGUAAAGAUUUUGUAAUCUAUAUUCCAUCUUAUUCUUCCCUCAGGGCGAGCUUGUGCAUAUCAUAUUUUUAAAGGCUUUUUAAAAAUCUAACAGACAAAAUCUCAUAUUUGAAAAUUGUACUUUACUAUUACAGCAUUUACACAUUUUGCAAGCACAUCUUAUAGUGUUUAUUUUCAGUUCAGUUGAUAUGUAUGGCGUACCUACUAUGUGUAAGAUAAAAUUGAUGGGAUUUUAAAUGAAACUUUCAGGUUCCAAUACCUUAUUUCUUUAUGUUUUCUGUGUUCUGCUUAACAGUGCAUAUACAUUCCCAAUUAAGUUUUUGUGAAAUGUUUAUUUGUAAUAAAAUAAAAUAUUGUUGCUCUUUCUGCUUGAGGAAGUUA